ACUUUGCAGUCUGAGUAAACUUAAUUAAUAAAUUAAAACUUUUAACAACGGAUCUCUUGGUUCUGGCAUCGAUGAAGAACGCAGCGAAAUGCGAUAAGUAAUGUGAAUUGCAGAAUUCAGUGAAUCAUCGAAUCUUUGAACGCACAUUGCGCCCCCUGGUAUUCCGGGGGGCAUGCCUGUUCGAGCGUCAUUU
rnacentral:rRNA from 2 species